rnacentral:rRNA from 1 species
AGUUUGAUCAUGGCUCAGAUUCACGGNUGGUAGCAGGCCUAACACAUGCAAGUCGAGCGGUAACAUUUCAAAAGCUUGCUUUUGAAGAUGACGAGCGGCGGACGGGUGAGUAAUGCCUGGGAAUUUGCCCAUUUGAGGGGGAUAACAGUUGGAAACGACUGCUAAUACCGCAUACGCCCUACGGGGGAAAGGAGGGGACCUUUUGGCCUUCCGCAAAUGGAUAAGCCCAGGUGGGAUUAGCUAGUAGGUGAGGUAAUGGCUCACCUAGGCGACGAUCCCUAGCUGUUCUGAGAGGAUGAUCAGCCACACUGGNGACUGAGACACGGCCCAGACUCCUACGGGAGGCAGCAGUGGGGAAUAUUGCACAAU